rnacentral:lncRNA from 1 species
AAAAAAUAAAUUAAUUAAAUAGAGCACUUCAGUAAUGUUCCAACCCGUAUACAAAUACCUUCAAACAUUCUAACUAACUAAAACCAAGUAGUCUCUACACUCACCCAAACCAUAAACUAGAAACUGCUUUCUCCAAGACCAAAAAACUAUAGGCUUAUAUAGAAUGCAUUAGUGAAUAAAAUGCUGAAUUAACCGUGUGCAUCAGUGAAAAAAAGCAUGACAGGUUUAAUUAUGCAGAACUAUGUAGCUACUGCAUAAGCACCUUUCACACAAGGUUCAACAUCAUCUGCAUAGAACAACCUUGUUCAAAACCCCUUCACUUCUACACACCAAAAACCUUUCCAAGAGCACUUAACAACAACGUGACCUGCAGGUCCUCUGCCAUUUGGGUGCUGAAAUUGUCAUCUACUAGCCAAGAAAGCCACAUGAACGUAUCCCUAAUGAGUAAAGGUUUGAGACACUCUCAACAAAAC